UUUUUAGGGAGUAACACACAGGCCUGAGCUCCCAAUCCAGGUUUUCCCUGGUCAUGGAUGUUUGUUCUCCCUCUGGACCUGCUGUGACCGAGCCGUGACCCGGCAGCACCUCCCCUGGCAGUGAAUUCCAAAGGCUUUGCUCCCGGUUUCCCACACCCAGCGCGGCUUCCCAGAGCAGGAGUCGCUGAACGUCGUCAUCCAGCAUCCUCAUCCUCACCGGCUCCAUGCUCAUCCAUCUCCAUCCUCAUCCUCACUGUGUCCAUCCUCAUCCAUCUCCAUCCUCAUCCAUCUCCGUCCUCAUCCACCAUAUCCAUCCUCAUCCAUCUCCAUCCUCAUCCAUCAUCCUCAUCCUCACUCCAUCCUCAUCCACCAUCUCCAUCCUCAUCCACCAUUCCCAUCCUCAUCCACCAUCUCCAUGCUCAUCCACCAUUCCCAUGCUCAUCCACCAUUCCCAUCCUCAUCCACCAUCUCCAUUCUCAUCCAUCUUGUCCAUCCUCAUCCACCUUGUCCAUCUUCAUCCACCAUUUCCAUCCUCAUCCACCAUCUCCAUCCUCACCCACCAUCUCCAUCCUCAUCCACCAUCUCCAUCCUCACCCACCAUCUCCAUCCUCAUCCACCAUUCCCAUCCAUCUUGUCCAUCCUCACCCAUCUCCAUCCUCAUCCAUCUCCAUCCUCAUCCAUCUCCAUCCUCAUCCAUCUCCAUCCUCAUCCUCACUCCAUCCUCACCCACCAUCUCCAUCCUCAUCCAUCAUCUCCAUCCUCAUCCAUCGCCAUCCUCAUCCAUCUCCAUCCUCAUCCACCAUCUCCAUCCUCAUCCUCACUCCAUCCUGAUCCACUGUCUCCAUCCUCAUCCACCAUUCCCAUCCAUCUUGUCCAUCCUCAUCCAUCAUCUCCAUCCUCAUCCACCAUCUCCAUCCUCAUCCAUCUCCAUCCUCAUCCACCAUCUCCAUCCUCAUCCACCAUUCCCAUCCAUCUUGUCCAUCCUCAUCCAUCUCCAUCCUCAUCCAUCUCCAUCCUCAUCCAUCUCCAUCCUCAUCCACCAUCUCCAUCCUCAUCCCUCUACAAUCCCAAACAGGAUCCCAGGAUGGUUUGGAUGAGAAGGGAUCUUAAAGUUCAUCCCAUUCCAGCCCCGACACCUCCCACUAUCCCAGGGAAUCCAACCUGGCCUUGGACACUGCCAGGGAUCCAGG
rnacentral:lncRNA from 1 species